AUACGUAGGGGGCAAGCGUUAUCCGGAAUGAUUGGGCGUAAAGAGUGCGUAGGCGGUUUUGUAAGCGUGGGGUGAAAGGCAAAGGCUUAACCAUUGUAAGCCCCGCGAACUGUGAGACUUGAGUGCAGGAGAGGGAAGCGGAAUUCCUAGUGUAGCGGUGAAAUGCGUAGAUAUUAGGAGGAACACCAGUGGCGAAGGCGGCUUCCUGGACUGUAACUGACGCUGAGGCACGAAAGCGUGGGGAGCGAACAGGAUUAGAUACCCUGGUAGUCCACGCCGUAAACGAUGAGCACUAGGUGUCGGGGUCGCAAGGCUUCGGUGCCGGAGUUAACGCAUUAAGUGCUCCGCCUGGGGAGUACGCACGCAAGUGUGAA
rnacentral:rRNA from 1 species